GGAAUAUUGCACAAUGGGGGAAACCCUGAUGCAGCGACGCCGCGUGAGUGAAGAAGUAUUUCGGUAUGUAAAGCUCUGUCAGCAGGGAAGAAAGAAAUGACGGUACCUGACCAAGAAGCCCCGGCUAACUACGUGCCAGCAGCCGCGGUAAUACAUAGGGGGCAAGCGUUAUCCGGAAUUAUUGGGUGUAAAGGGUGCGUAGACGGAAGAACAAGUUGGUUGUGAAAUCCCUCGGCUCAACUGAGGAACUGCAACCAAAACUAUUCUCCUUGAGUGUCGGAGAGGAAAGUGGAAUUCCUAGUGUAGCGGUGAAAUGCGUAGAUAUUAGGAGGAACACCAGUGGCGAAGGCGGCUUACUGGACUGUAACUGACGUUGAGGCUCGAAAGCGUGGGGAGCA
rnacentral:rRNA from 1 species